rnacentral:RNase_P_RNA from 1 species
GGUAGUAGUGGUAUUUGGCUUACGGUGCCUAGCACUGAGGAAAGUCCGCCCACCCGCUAGAAAAGACCGCUCACAUACGAGGUAGGGAAAUCCUACAGCUCUGGCUCAGAAACGACACGUCCUGCAAAAUGGUAUGAUAUGGCGAAGUUUCCAGUGAUGGAAAUCAGUUAACCCUUUGACGUCUUUGUAGGGAACGAUGAAACGGCGAAUCUCGGUUGGUGCAAGUUCGUUUGAACGCUUAGUAGAAUGCCAAGACAAACUAUCGUAAUCACUAGUUGAUUAUUUGGGUUUGACAGAAGGCGGCUUAUUCCACUCUACC